rnacentral:lncRNA from 1 species
ACAUGGCUUAAAAUACUAUCUAGAGUACUUGAAUAAAAAUGAAGAGUGUGGUAUCCUCAAAGUGCACCUAUCAGGCCAGGAUCACUACGAAAUGCACCAAUGGGACAAUAAAGUUGGAGAGG